AUUGAGCGCUGGCGGCAUGCUUUACACAUGCAAGUCGAACGGCAGCGCGGGCUUCGGCCUGGCGGCGAGUGGCGAACGGGUGAGUAAUGCAUCGGAACGUGCCCAGUAGUGGGGGAUAGCCCGGCGAAAGCCGGAUUAAUACCGCAUACGACCUGAGGGUGAAAGCGGGGGACCGAAAGGCCUCGCGCUAUUGGAGCGGCCGAUGUCGGAUUAGCUAGUUGGUGGGGUAAAGGCUUACCAAGGCGACGAUCCGUAGCUAGUCUGAGAGGACGACCAGCCACACUGGGACUGAGACACGGCCCAGACUCCUACGGGAGGCAGCAGUGGGGAAUUUUGGACAAUGGGGGCAACCCUGAUCCAGCCAUGCCGCGUGCGGGAAGAAGGCCUUCGGGUUGUAAACCGCUUUUGUUCGGGAAGAAAUCCUCUGGGCUAAUACCCCGGGGGGAUGACGGUACCGGAAGAAUAAGCACCGGCUAACUACGUG
rnacentral:rRNA from 1 species